rnacentral:rRNA from 1 species
UCCUACGGGGCGCAGCAGUGGGGGAUAUUGCACAAUGGGGGGAACCCUGAUGCAGCGACGCCGCGUGGGUGAAGAAGCGCCUCGGCGCGUAAAGCCCUGUCAGCAGGGAAGAAAAUGACGGUACCUGAAGAAGAAGCCCCGGCUAACUACGUGCCAGCAGCCGCGGUAAUACGUAGGGGGCAAGCGUUAUCCGGAAUUACUGGGGGUAAAGGGAGCGUAGACGGCUGUGCAAGUCUGGAGUGAAAGGCGGGGGCCCAACCCCCG